rnacentral:rRNA from 1 species
GGGGGGGGGGGGGGGGGGGGGGGGGGGGGGCGGGGGGGGGGGGGGCGGGGGGGGGGCGUGCUCUGACGGGGGGCGGGGGGCGGGCGGGGGGGGGAUGCAUCGGAAUCUACUUUUUCGUGGGGGAGAACGUAGGGAAACUUACGCUAAUACCGCAUACGACCUACGGGUGAAAGCAGGGGAUCUUCGGACCUUGCGCGAGUGAAUGAGCCGAUGUCGGAUUAGCUAGUUGGCGGGGUAAAGGCCCACCAAGGCGACGAUCCGUAGCUGGUCUGAGAGGAUGAUCAGCCACACUGGAACUGAGACACGGUCCAGACUCCUACGGGAGGCAGCAGUGGGGAAUAUUGGACAAUGGGCGCAAGCCUGAUCCAGCCAUACCGCGUGGGUGAAGAAGGCCUUCGGGUUGUAAAGCCCUUUUGUUGGGAAAGAAAAGCAGCAGGUUAAUACCCCGCUGUUCUGACGGUACCCAAAGAAUAAGCACCGGCUAACUUCGUG